UACGUAGGUGACAAGCGUUGUCCGGAUUUACUGGGCGUAAAGAGCGCGCAGGCGGUCGAUCAAGUCGAGUGUGAAAGCCCCCGGCUCAACUGGGGAGGGUCAUUCGAUACUGAUCGACUCGAAGGCAGGAGAGGGUAGUGGAAUUCCCGGUGUAGUGGUGAAAUGCGUAGAUAUCGGGAGGAACACCAGUGGCGAAGGCGACUUCCUGGCCUGUUCUUGACGCUGAGGCGCGAAAGCUAGGGGAGCAAACGGGG
rnacentral:rRNA from 1 species